UGGGGAAAUUGCACNAUGGGCGCAAGCCUGAUGCAGCGACGCCGCGUGGGGGAUGACGGCCUUCGGGUUGUAAACUCCUUUCGCCAGGGACGAAGCGUUUUGUGACGGUACCUGGAGAAGAAGCACCGGCUAACUACGUGCCAGCAGCCGCGGUAAUACGUAGGGUGCAAGCGUUGUCCGGAAUUACUGGGCGUAAAGAGCUCGUAGGUGGUUUGUCACGUCGUCUGUGAAAUUCCACAGCUUAACUGUGGGCGUGCAGGCGAUACGGGCUGACUUGAGUACUGUAGGGGUAACUGGAAUUCCUGGUGUAGCGGUGAAAUGCGCAGAUAUCAGGAGGAACACCGAUGGCGAAGGCAGGUUACUGGGCAGUUACUGACGCUGAGGAGCGAAAGCAUGGGUAGCAAACAGGAUUAGAUACCCUGGUAGUCCAUGCCCGUAAAACGGUGGGCGCUAGGUGUAGGGGCCUUUUGGGGUUUCUGUGCCGUAGCUAAACGCAUUAAGCGCCCCGCCUGGGGAGUACGGCCCGCAAAGGCUAAA
rnacentral:rRNA from 1 species